CCACGGGGGGAAGGGAACCCCGGGAACUGGGGAUAAUACCCCAUAGACUAUAGAUGCUGGAAUGCUUUGUAUUUGAAAGGUCCGCCACCAUAGGAUGGGUCUGCGGCCGAUUAGGUUGUUGUUGGGGUAACGGCCCAACAAGCCUGUAAUCGGUACGGGUUGUGGGAGCAAGAGCCCGGAGAUGGAUUCUGAGACACGAAUCCAGGCCCUACGGGGCGCAGCAGGCGCGAAAACUUUACAAUGCGGGAAACCGUGAUAAGGGAACUCCGAGUACCCGUAAAAUCGGGCUGUCCAUCUGUUUAAAUAACAGGUGAAGAAAGGGCCGGGCAAGACCGGUGCCAGCCGCCGCGGUAAUACCGGCGGCUCGAGUGGUGGCCACUAUUACUGGGCUUAAAGCGUCCGUAGCUGGUCUGUUAAGUCUCUGGGGAAAUCUACUGGCUUAACCAAUAGGCGUCUCAGGGAUACUGGCAGACUAGGGACCGGGAGAGGUGAGAGGUACUCCAGGGGUAGGAGUGAAAUCCUGUAAUCCUUGGGGGACCACCUGUGGCGAAGGCGUCUCACCAGAACGGCUCCGACAGUGAGGGACGAAAGCUGGGGGAGCAAACCGGAUUAGAUACCCGGGUAGUCCCAGCCGUAAACGAUGCGCGUUAGGUGUAUCGGUGACCACGAGUCACCGAGGUGCCGAAGAGAAAUCGUGAAACGUGCCGCCUGGGAAGUACGGUCGCAAGGCUGAAACUUAAAGGAAUUGGCGGGGGGAGCAC
rnacentral:rRNA from 1 species